CAAACCAACAUCCUAAGGUUUGGAAGACAAUGAAAACCAACUUGAAUUGAACCAGGCCCAAGCAUUCUGCACUUCGAAUGUUGACAGUUCUUUACUUCCUCAUCCUGGGACAAAAGUAAGACAAUAUAAUGAUAUCAUGUGUUCCCAAAAGUCCCUUAAAAGCCAUUGUGCAAAUUCAAGGUUUCAUCUCAGUCAAAAAUGUAAAACCAACUCUGAGCCCUGACUAUCCAGUUACUUUCUGCCAUUGUUAAUUCCUUGAGCUCUUUCUCUUUUCUUCAAAAAUGUGAAAUUUCUUUUAUUUAUUUAUUUUUAAAAUGUUCUAAAAUUAUCUUCUUAAUUUUCACUGACUCCUACGUCUGGCUGGUAACGACUCAUGUAAGUCUGGAAAAUAAUUUGGUUACAGUGCUUUCAGAAAGGUCUCUGGUGAAAUGCAUAUGUCUGUAGGAUCCACGUCAUACUGCUGGAUAGACAAAGCUGCACAAAAUACAGAUUCCCUUGUAGCAGAAGACAUUACAGCCUAUGACACUUAUUUUUCAAGUUUUCUUAUGGUGCCUAAUUACUUUCUUGCCACCUGAAAGAGCUGCAAGUCACAGGUGCAGUGUGUCGUGCAAAGCAGGGCAACGCUGCAACCAUGUGCAUCAGCUGAAUUGGCUGUAAAACCUGUUGGGGCCUGUUCUGCCUCAUCAUGGGUGCUUGGCUUGGCAUGUGGCUGCUUCUGGUUUGUCUUUAGCCCCCUCCGUUCCCCUUCUAUUUGUCCUUAGCCACUCUCUUAGUAUUAGGCUUUAAAAUGCUCUUGCUAAUUUUCUGAAUUCAAUAUAUUCUGUUGUGGAUUGUACUGUCACAGAAAUGUAUAUUUUAAUAGUUAUGAUACUCAUCCAAGAAUAAAAAUAGUCAUCUUAUGAUGAUGUAAGACCACUUAACUGCCCAGGAGGAGCUUUUUUAAAUGGAAUAUUUUUUUAUGUGGGAUGUGAAUUCACAAAGAAAAUUGAACUACGAUGAGAGUAUUCCCCUUGAUCCAAGCCUGAUAAAUGUCAGCAAGAGUUAUGAACAUGCUAAAACUGAAAAGCAAAACCUACUGUAUGAAAUUAAACUGUCCAAACAAUCUUAUGAGGGGACAACGACUACAGAGUUCAGUAGAUCAAUUUUACUCUCAGUAAGUGAAGACAAUGGCUUUGGCAUUGCUGCCCUGGAAAUCCCACAACUGCUCUUAUGUCCAGCUGCACAUCUAUAAUAUCUCUGGGGACUAAACAGGUGAACCGAGAUUGUAAUUUGAGAAUGGAACAUCUUUCUCUGAACUCCAACUGUGCCGUCGUUUGAUCUUGGUUCUUUCAGCUCUAGAAGUAAAGGUCCUCAAGCUAAGAGGAGUUUCAGUGUUUUCACACAAAUCUGGAUGCUGUACAGCAUCAUUACCUACCACUGGUUUCUAUGGGGUUGAAUGUUUCUAGCACUACUGAUAACUAGUUCACUUAAAGAUGUACAGGUCAGCUUUUUGAGUGUUUCCAAACACUUUUUUCCCCACAUGUUUUAUGUACUUAAGGAUCUGGAGGUAUAAUAUUCUUUUUUUAACAGAGAUGACUGAAAAACUCAGUUCUUCCAGAAUUCUUUCCUUGGAAUUGGGAUCACCAGUGUCAUGAGCCUCCCAAGCAGGGAGAUUUUGAAAAGGUCCCAGAAUUUAACAUCAGUUCUGGAAAGAUGGGUAAAAUUUAAACUGAAACUCCAUGGGAAUGGGCAAGCAUGGAGAAUAUAGCCUACUGUUUGCCUGAAUUUUCAGCAAGCAGAGUUCACCAACCCAGC
ensembl:lncRNA